GCGCCCUCGUAUCGGCUUAUUUUUUGUUCUACUACGAACUUCAUUGCUUGCUUGCCUGCGUACGGUGACUCCAUAUAAGUCUCCCAAUCCAAAAUCUGGUUCAGAGCCUAUUUCCCACCUACAAUCUGGGCUUGCAAACAUCAGGGAACCCAUCCUGCUCGAGGCACUACCCAACGGUCAGCCCUCGGCACUCCUGGCAUUCAUUUCGAAAUCCUUAGAUUGGGCGCCAUAUUGUUACGACCACGCUUUUGUACUUGGGCAACGCCGACUGGCUCAUCGGACUUCAAUCAGGUUGUUGGUCCAUCCCAAUGCCCGCGUGACUCGAACAAAUACCGAUUACUCGGUUACGGCAAAACAUCCACCACUAUAACCAAUAUAAACAAACGGACCAACUACAAAAUUACAAGACGUGCAACAAAAAAAUACCCCUCCGGCAGUUUCUGUGGACUUCGGUGUUCCUGCCCAAGCGCUCCCGCCCAUCCUGUAGCCGACACGGUUUGUGGCUACCCACUAUGGAGCUACGUACUCCUUAUUUUGGCCCGGUCGCACUAUGCCUGGUUGUCCGCAUUUGAAGCAAAACAUAUUGCGCACCGCGGACUUGCAAUCGAAAUAUGUAUGCCCUGGUUGGGCACAAUUCCAACACUUGAGAGUCGAGCGGCUCCCACCAGUUUCAUGCGGCCUAUAUACCGCCUCCAAAUGCUCCAGUUGGCUACCUUCUGGACUUUCUGCUACCACGUCUAGCUCGUGCACUCGAUGCUGCUCUCGCUGCUGUCCGUAGUUGGUACUAGCUGAGGGCCGCGCCAAUGCGUUGCCAGCAUCUUUUCGGCGUCUUGGCACUCCUCUCUCAGCUUCUGCAGGUCAUAAUCCGAAAAUGGACACACCAACCGAGAAUGCAACACCAACAUCGCCUGAAUAUACUCCUCAAUGCUCUCGCCAUGCCGCUGCAUCUGCUCCCUCAGCUCCUGCUCUCGUUCAAACUCCGAUCUUCGAGUCUGGAAUUGCUGCUGCAGCCCAUACCGGAGAUUCGGGCAGUCCGGCACGCCCGAGGUACGUAUGUACAUCCAAUACCAAUCUGUCGCUCUUCCUUUCACCAGGCAGUGGAAGUCUCGCAACACGUCGGCCCAGGGCACCUGAUACAAGGCACCUGAUGCUCCAACCUGAAUAUAAACUCCGCCACCGGCAUUCCUUUUGUUUCGCCAUCAAACACAAGGCCCCACUUCCUGAUGUGGACGACGUCGGGCAGGGAAUCGCCCAUCGUGGUUCGCCUUAAUGGCCUGUGCACGUCAGGACCCAAAUCGCGCAUCCACGGAUCGGCUGAGGACUGCCGCUGCUCAACAUGUGCCCGCUGUUCUGCCUCUAAGAUAUGGUUGUCGACGAACAGCUGACCGCUGCAUUUGCGCGUGAGAUCGCUCUGGCCUGCCCACCGGCGCAUGUGCUACAGACGGAGGCGCACUAUGUGUCUUUUCCUGCCUCAGCGCUGCCACUGCCUCAUUAAUCUCCCGCAUGAACGACGAGC